rnacentral:lncRNA from 1 species
CUGGCAGUGAUUUGUGGGGCAGGGAGUUUUCCUCCUUCCCCCUGCACAGUCUGUAAUUCCCUGGUAUUAUAACAUGUCAUUUUUCUAGCAUACCUGAGGAGCCAGGAAAUAAUGUCUGAGCCUAGAGGGACAGCAACGAUGGAACCUCCAAAGAGGCGAGAGAUGGAGAGAUUAGAGCAAGAAACGAAGCCAGCGGAUGCUGCCAGUUCCCAUCACCUAAUCAAAGCUGCUCCGUGGAAGGGCCGCCUCGUUAUUACAUCCCAUUAUAGCCUCCGGCAGCGGCUGUACUUCAUAACCGCCCAGGAAAGCUGACAGCUCCUGAAUGUGACAGCUGCUAAAUCACCUGUUAUUAUGCAGAGAACAAAGCUGUCCUCCAGGAACAAAGAAAGGAGAAUGGUCUGUGACUGGGGGGAAGGCAGAGCACAGCUGUGGGGAGGAGAUGAAGCCAAGAGACACCAGCAAAGCUGCCAGGACUCAGUGGAUAGACAAACCUCCCAGUGUGGUAAAUAAAACCCCAGUUGAUGGUUGAAAUAAUGGCUGG